UAGGGAAUCUUCCGCAAUGGGCGAAAGCCUGACGGAGCAACGCCGCGUGAGUGAUGAAGGUCUUCGGAUCGUAAAACUCUGUUAUUAGGGAAGAACAAAUGUGUAAGUAACUAUGCACGUCUUGACUGUACCUAAUCAGAAAGCCACGGCUAACUACGUGCCAGCAGCCGCGGUAAUACGUAGGUGGCAAGCGUUAUCCGGAAUUAUUGGGCGUAAAGCGCGCGUAGGCGGUUUUUUAAGUCUGAUGUGAAAGCCCACGGCUCAACCGUGGAGGGUCAUUGGAAACUGGAAAACUUGAGUGCAGAAGAGGAAAGUGGAAUUCCAUGUGUAGCGGUGAAAUGCGCAGAGAUAUGGAGGAACACCAGUGGCGAAGGCGACUUUCUGGUCUGUAACUGACGCUGAUGUGCGAAAGCGUGGGGAUCAAACAGG
rnacentral:rRNA from 2 species